UACGGAGGGUGCAAGCGUUAUCCGGAUUCACUGGGUUUAAAGGGUGCGUAGGUGGGUUGGUAAGUCAGUGGUGAAAUCUCCGGGCUUAACCUGGAAACUGCCAUUGAUACUAUCAAUCUUGAAUACCUUGGAGGUGAGCGGAAUAUGUCAUGUAGCGGUGAAAUGCUUAGAUAUGACAUAGAACACCGAUAGCGAAGGCAGCUUGCUACACAAUUAUUGACACUGAGGCUCGAAAGCGUGGGGAUCAAACAGG
rnacentral:rRNA from 1 species